GGCAGGAGCAACAGCUAGUGUCCCAGGACUUUUCUUCAGAUAAGGAGGAGGCAAAGGAGGAUUUCUCCACUUCAUUCAACAAGAAAAGAUUUUCUUAACUAGUCAUCUUGCUGUU
rnacentral:lncRNA from 1 species